rnacentral:rRNA from 1 species
ACUCCUACGGGAGGCAGCAGUGGGGAAUUUUGGACAAUGGGCGAAAGCCUGAUCCAGCCAUGCCGCGUGAGUGUUCAAGGCCAUCGGGUUGUAAACCUCUUUUAGUCGGAAAGAAAGAAAUACAAUAAAUAUUUGUGAUUUAUGACGGUUCCGACAGAAGAAGCACCGGCUAACUACGUGCCAGCAGCCGCGGUAAU